rnacentral:rRNA from 1 species
AGAGUUUGAUCCUGGCUCAGAACGAACGCUGGCGGCGUGGAUAAGACAUGCAAGUCGGACGAGAUUUUUCGUUGUAGCAAUACGAUGGAAAGUCUAGUGGCGAACGGGUGCUUAACACGUGGGCAACCUACCAGGAAGUGGGGGAUAGCUCGCCGAAAGGCGAAUUAAUACCGCAUGUGAUUAGAGAGGACAUCCUUUCGAAAUUAAAGUCGGGGCAACCUGACGCUUCUUGUGGGGCCCGCGGCCUAUCAGCUAGUUGGUGAGGUAACGGCCCACCAAGGCUUUGACGGGUAGCUGGUCUGAGAGGACGACCAGCCACACUGGGACUGAGACACGGCCCAGACACCUACGGGUGGCAGCAGUCGAGAAUUUUUGACAAUGGGGGAAACCCUGAUCGAGCGACGCCGCGUGGAGGAUGAAGGUCUUCGGAUUGUAAACUCCUGUCAUUGGGGAACAAGGUGCAUACGUUAACUGCGUGUGCAUUGAUAGUACCCGAAGAGGAAGAGACGGCUAACUCUGUGCCAGCAGCCGCGGUAAUACAGAGGUCUCAAGCGUUGUUCGGAUUCAUUGGGCGUAAAGGGUGCGUAGGCGGCGCGGUAAGUCGGGUGUGAAAUCUCGGAGCUUAACUCCGAAACUGCAUUCGAUACUGCCGUGCUUGAGGACUGGAGAGGAGACUGGAAUUUACGGUGUAGCGGUGAAAUGCGUAGAUAUCGUAAGGAAGACCAGUGACGAAGGCGGGUCUCUGGACAGUUCCUGACGCUGAGGCACGAAGGUCAGGGAGCAAACGGGAUUAGAUACCCCGGUAGUCCUGACAGUAAACGGUGCACGUUUGGUGUGGGAGGAUUCGACCCCUUCUGCGCCGGAGCUAACGCGUUAAACGUGCCGCCUGGGGAGUACGGUCGCAGAUUAAAACUCAAAGAAAUUGACGGGGGCCGCACAAGCGGUGGAGUAUGUGGCUCAUUCGAUGCACGCGAGGACUUUACCAGGCCUUGACAUGCAUCUCUAAGUUGGUGAAGCCAGCGAGGUAGCAAUACCU